rnacentral:tRNA from 1 species
GGGGUUGUAGCUCAGCGGUAGAGUGCUUGCUUCAUAUGCAUGAGGCUCUGGGUUCGAUCCUCAGCACCACA